UUUCUAUUCACUUUUACUAAAGUUAGAGUGCGAAAACUAAAAGUAUUCGGACGCCGGACGACGACGACGACGACGACGCCGACGCCAACGUGAUAGCAAUAUACGACGAAAAUUUUUUCAAAAUUUGCGGUCGUAUAAAAAUUGACAUGACUGUACUGUAAAAUCCAAUGAUCUAACAUCAUGAUUGUACUGUAAAAAUCAAUGAUCUAACACAUAACUAAAUAUGAGAAUUAUUCAAUAAUUCUGUCUGUUUUGUAUAGAAAACAAAGAUUUUACAUUAAAUGGCAUCAAAGGUCUGCUUUACAAUAAAUAGGUCACAGUUCCAGAAUAUUGAUAUUGGUUAAAUGAUUUUAAAUUCAGAAAUUAAAGCAAUGUUUUUCAUAUAUUGGGAAAGAUUUGACGGGAUAUGUUUUGAUAAGUAAAAAGAUACAUAUCAAAAAUUUGAUAGCAUUACUUGUCUUCAGUAUUUCAUGAAAAUACAACGAUUAAUCUCUUAUUAGCAUCCAUUGUCCAUCCAUUGUCCAUUCCCCUAAUCAUUUACUAACUUUACAGCAUCAUAAGGUAUGCCAGAACCAAAAGUUGUAAUACCCAUUGAAGCAUAUAUUUAUUUUCUCUAGUUUUUAUUGUAUGUUUUAUCAUAAACAAAUAAUCAAACCAAUGAGUACUUAUUAUGCAGUUUCCUUAUAACUUACUUAUCUGUGAUGCAUCAUCACAAUAUGUACUUUUAAUCAAUUUGUAAUUAGAACAUUGUCCAUUGGUUAUAUAGUAUCAGGCUAUUCCUGGAAAGUUCUAUAGUGAGAUCAAAAUCCAUCUUAUCAAAUAAAAUAUGGGUGGUCAGGUUCAUUCUCAUCAAAUAAUACAAAGGAUUAAUAAGAACAUCAAGUAAUAUAUGGGCGAUCAGGAUUUAAAUUACUUUUAAGGAUCAAAUACUAUGUCUUUAAAUACUAUCUUUUUCAUUUAUUCUAUAUAAGACUAAUUAUGGAUAUUUUAUUAAUCUAAAUUUUAAUACAAUCUAUGUAAAUGAGCUAAAAAUAAAUGGAAAAAACAAUGAUUCACAGAUCUUAUUGACAAAACAUUACUGUAAAAUGUUGAUACAAUUUCAUAUUGGCUAAAAAUAUUUUAUUGAGUAAUUAAGGUCUUCAUUUGUAAAAUAAACUACUGUUUUGAAAUGCUUGCUUUAAAAACUUAUCUGCUAUCUUAUAUGUAAACCCUGUAUUACAGAAAACACAAAAAAAUAACGAUUUAACAAAUAAAAUGAAGCAAAUUGUGUGCACUGAAUAGACAAUUGAUUUUAUUGGGCGUUAUAAAUUAUUUUCAAAUGACAAAUAAUAUUUAAACUUAUAUUUUUAAACAAUGGUCAUUGUUACAAGUAACCCAAAAUUUUGUGUUAAAAUGGAGUUAAAUUGGUGAAACAUACAACACACUGACAGCCUUAAGUUAACAAAAUAUAAUUAACAUAUCUAUAACAGUCUAACAAAUAGUACAAUGUCAACACUGAAAUAAGUUAAUAAAUAAAACAGAACGACCCUGUAACAGACAACAUUUUAACACUGUACCACAAAUAUAUGAAAUCUACAUUAUGAUGAUACUCAAAUCUGUAAAAGGUUCAUGAUUUUAACAUUCCGUAAAAGAAGCUACCAUAUAUGCAUGUAUUUAUGGGUCAAACCUAAAAAUGUAUAAAAAUAUAACAGAUAAUUUCCAACAUUUGUCUAAUACAAUGUCAGCAAACAGCAUAAAACAAUUCAUAAUUAAGGGUAUUACCAAUAUUCCUUUUGUUGUAUGUACAUUGUUAUUCAAAUAAUUACAUUGUAUAGUUUUAAUUACAGAAUGGCAAAUAGACAUCUGUUGUGUACAUAUUACAAAGAUAUCUACUUCAGGAAAACUUGUCUAACAACUAAAUUAUAUCAUAAAACAUCUACUUAAUAAAAUACUUAUAAAAGACAUUUAGUUCUUUGUUCACAUGUACAAUCAUAUAGUACUGAAUAUAAUAACUGAAAUGCACUGACAUACUUGCUCAUUAUUUUGCUGAACAUUGAACUUUCAAACUAAACAUUGAAAAACCAAAAUAAAUGUGGCAAAAAAAUUACAAAGUAUUGAAAUGCUGUUCUGUUAUUUAAUUUAAAUGCUGGCCAAUUCAUCCAUCAAAAUAUUUUAAGUGUAGUUAAAAUACUCUAAAUUCAGAAAAAUGUAAAAUUGGGAUGAAAUGAGUGUUGCAAAAAAAUAAACUUACAUUUUUAAUUUCUAUGGCAUAAUGUGUUUGCAACAUUUCUUGAAAUUCCACUUUUUAACUCUUGA
rnacentral:lncRNA from 1 species